GACGAACGCUGGCGGCGUGCUUAACACAUGCAAGUCGAACGGAAAGGCCCUGCUUUUGCGGGGUGCUCGAGUGGCGCACGGGUGAGUAACACGUGAGUAACCUGCCCUUGACUUUGGGAUAACUCCAGGAAACUGGGGCUAAUACCGGAUAGGAGCUCCUGCUGCAUGGUGGUGGUUGGAAAGUUUCGGCGGUUGGGGAUGGACUCGCGGCUUAUCAGCUUGUUGGUGGGGUAGUGGCUUACCAAGGCUUUGACGGGUAGCCGGCCUUGGAGGGUGACCGGCCACAUGGGGACUGCGAUACGGCGCAGACUCCUACGUGAGGCAGCAGUGGGGAAUAUUGCACAAUGGGCGGAAGCCUGAUGCAGCAACGCCGCGUGCGGGAUGACGGCCUUCGGGUUGUAAACCGCUUUCGCCUGUGACGAAGCGUGAGUGACGGUAAUGGGUAAAGAAGCACCGGCUAACUACGUG
rnacentral:rRNA from 1 species